rnacentral:rRNA from 1 species
AAUAGAUACCCAGGUAGUCCACGCCGUAAACGAUGAGUGCUAAGUGUUAGGGGGUUUCCGCCCCUUAGUGCUGCAGCUAACGCAUUAAGCACUCCGCCUGGGGAGUACGGCCGCAAGGCUGAAACUCAAAGGAAUUGACGGGGGCCCGCACAAGCGGUGGAGCAUGUGGUUUAAUUCGAAGCAACGCGAAGAACCUUACCAGGUCUUGACAUCUCCUGACCGCCCUGGAGACAGGGUCUUCCCUUCGGGGACAGGAUGACAGGUGGUGCAUGGUUGUCGUCAGCUCGUGUCGUGAGAUGUUGGGUUAAGUCCCGCAACGAGCGCAACCCUUGUCCUUAGUUGCCAGCAUUCAGUUGGGCACUCUAAGGAGACUGCCGGCUAAAAGUCGGAGGAAGGUGGGGAUGACGUCGAAAUCAUCAUGCCCCUUAUGACCUGGGCUACACACGUGCUACAAUGGGCGGUACAGAGGGUCGCGAACCCGGCGAGGGGGGAGCCAAGUCCCAAAAAAGGCCGCUCUCAGUUCGGAUUGGAGG